rnacentral:rRNA from 1 species
CAGUAGCCGCGGGAAUACGUAGGUGGCAAGCGUUGUCCGGAAUUAUUGGGCGUAAAGGGCUCGCAGGCGGUUUCUUAAGUCUGAUGUGAAAGCCCCCGGCUCAACCGGGGAGGGUCAUUGGAAACUGGGAAACUUGAGUGCAUAAGAGGAGAGUGGAAUUCCACGUGUAGCGGUGAAAUGCGUAGAGAUGUGGAGGAACACCAGUGGCGAAGGCGACUCUCUGGUCUGUAACUGACGCUGAGGAGCGAAAGCGUGGGGAGCGAACAGGAUUAGAGACCCCUGUAGUCCCUGUCUCUUAUAC